UUAUGGACGUUAUAUCAGUGGAAUAAGGUGGAUUUCAAGUUAAAACAACCGUUGAAAAUUGCAAUUUCUUCGACAGCGAGUUAUUGAUUUUGAAAAGUGGUAGUAUACGAAAAAUCGUGCCUACUAUAUACAUGAUAGCUUAUAUACAUGGCGCUGUACCCAUAACACAAGCCUUCUUGAGCUUACUUAUGUCUAUAAAAAGAAAACGUGAUACUUAAUGUAUAAAAAUGUAUUAUUGUAGUUAGUCAUAUUGAACAAGGUUUCCCGUGGGACUGAUAUGAAAAUCGCGAAAAUAUACCCCUGGGAGUCAUUACGUUUUUUAGCGGUUUUGUGGUCAGUACAGAUUUUUAACAUUCGGGAUCACGAUCCCAAAAUCACCUAGUAUAUUUCGCCAAUUUAGACAACUAGUAACGAUUUCAGCUGUAAAAUUCGGGGCACGAUUUAUCGUCGACUUCAUGUCUCUUUUACUAUUAAUAGUACAUUGUGCAACGAGCGGUGUAAGUGAAAUUUUGCAAACGAGGUCUUUAGAUUAAAGACUCGAGUUUGCAAUAUUCUUACCCUCAGAAUUACACACAAUGUUUUCAUCACACUUGCGAAGAAAAAAACUAAAUUUUAAGCGAAAUAAUUCUUAAAUACGGUGACAUUUGAAACAUUCGUCCGCCAUAUUGUCAUUCUUUAUCGGGUUAGGCAUCGAAGGCACAGACCUAUCCGGUAUUCAGCCGCGAUUGAAAAUUCUGUAAUAGUACAUUACAAGUGCGAAAAAUAGGAAAUUCAAAACGAGUGGCGAUAAAUUAAAACACGACUGAAGGGAGUGUUUUAAAUCGACACGAGUUGCGAAUUACCUAUUCGCACAUGUAUCGUACAACGUUUUACAGUACAUAUGGCCCUUUAAAUGUUCGACACAGUAACGUAAUAUGCAAAUUUUCGCACUAGUGCGGUAAAGUAGCACCAUAUGUACUGUAAAAAACAUUUUAAAGGGCUAUUAAAUUAAUAAAAUUAAAUAUUUAUUAAAAUAAAUUAUGAACAUCAGUAUUUUAAAAAUAUUUUUUUUUUUCACAAUCCAUAACUCUUGCGGAAACAAUACAUGCCUUUGUCCUUCCUGCCUGCAGUAUACCUGCAUGAAAUCAGGUCUUUUUCGAGCAAGUGUGAUGAAAUAACUAUUUGCUACACCUUUUUUAAUCGAUAUAAAUAUUAUACGACAUUAUUACACAAAUUGACUAAGUCCCACAGUAAGCUCAAUAAGGCUUGUGUUGAGGGUACUUAGACAACGAUAUAUAUAAUAUAUAAAUAUUUAUAAAUACUUAAAUACAUAGAAAACACCCAUGACUCAGGAACGAAUAUCCAUGCUCAUCACACGAAUAAAUGCCCUUACCAGGAUUUGAACCCAGGACCAUCAGCUUCGUAGGCAGGGUCACUACCCACUAGGCCAAACCGGUCGUCAAAUAUGGUAAAUAUGGUAGUUAUAUUUAGAGAUUUGUCUAAUAGUGACUAGAAAUUGCUGCAGAAUUGUCAAAAGCGGCAUAAAAGCCUGUAAUAGGUAUUCCAUUAUAGCAAGAAAAGCCAGUUUAAUUCACUCAUUCUAAUUAGGUACGUAUAUAUACUUGAUAAUGUUUUCAUAUCAGCUAAAACGGCGGAUAAACUACUAUGAAAAAACUUACCUGUUUCAAUCCAUUAUUUUUAGUGGUGCAUUAAAAAAAGGUACGUUAGCCAAUUAGAAAGACAUGUUAAUGGAAUAAAACUGCUUAUUUAGGUUAAUUUUUAUUGCAAAAUAUUAGAGUGCGAAUAGGUAUACGGACAUUCUGUGUACUGUUUAAUAAGCAGUUUUAUGUACUAAGGUAAAGUGACCUAGGGAAGAAAAGUUAUUUUACGUAAGUAAUGAUUUUAUUAAAAAAACUUGCAGAACAGUUUUAUUUCACCAGUAACUUAUUGAGGUGUUUUAGAUUGAUUUUGAUGUUAAUAUACUUAAUAAAAAAUACAAUG